UACGGGGGGGGGCAAGCGUUGUUCGGAAUUACUGGGCGUAAAGGGCUCGUAGGUGGCCAACUAAGUCGGACGUGAAAUCCCUCGGCUUAACCGGGGAACUGCGUCCGAUACUGGAUGGCUUGAAUCCGGGAGAGGGAUGCAGAAUUCCACGUGUAGCGGUGAAAUGCGUAGAUAUCGAGAGGAACACCUGCGGCGAAGGCGGGUAGCUGGGCCGACACUGACGCUGAUGCGCGAAAGCCAGGGGAGCGAACGGG
rnacentral:rRNA from 1 species